AAUCGAGUGUAGGUUCUAGCGAGCCCAACCUCCCACCCGUGUUUACUGUACCUUAGUUGCUUCGGCGGGCCCGCCAUUCAUGGCCGCCGGGGGCUCUCAGCCCCGGGCCCGCGCCCGCCGGAGACACCACGAACUCUGUCUGAUCUAGUGAAGUCUGAGUUGAUUGUAUCGCAAUCAGUUAAAACUUUCAACAAUGGAUCUCUUGGUUCCGGCAUCGAUGAAGAACGCAGCGAAAUGCGAUAACUAGUGUGAAUUGCAGAAUUCCGUGAAUCAUCGAGUCUUUGAACGCACAUUGCGCCCCCUGGUAUUCCGGGGGGCAUGCCUGUCCGAGCGUCAUUGCUGCCCAUCAAGCACGGCUUGUGUGUUGGGUCGUCGUCCCCUCUCCGGGGGGGACGGGCCCCAAAGGCAGCGGCGGCACCGCGUCCGAUCCUCGAGCGUAUGGGGCUUUGUCACCCGCUCUGUAGGCCCGGCCGGCGCUUGCCGAACGCAAAUCAAUCUUUUUCCAGGUGACCUCGGAUCAGUAGGU
rnacentral:rRNA from 1 species